rnacentral:rRNA from 1 species
UACGUAGGGUGCGAGCGUUAAUCGGAAUUACUGGGCGUAAAGCGUGCGCAGGCGGUUCGCUGUGUCCGAUGUGAAAGCCCCGGGCUUAACCUGGGAAUGGCAUUGGAAACUGGCGGGCUUGAGUGCGGCAGAGGGGGGUGGAAUUCCGCGUGUAGCAGUGAAAUGCGUAGAGAUGCGGAGGAACACCGAUGGCGAAGGCAGCCCCCUGGGUCGACACUGACGCUCAGGCACGAAAGCUAGGGGAGCGAACGGG